UCACUUGGUUUCGGGGUUUCAAACUAUAAUUCUUUUCGCUUGAAGGGGGCUGGCUAAACCAUGAUGCAAAAGGUACAAGAAGUAAUCUUUGCUUUUUGAUGCUUUACUGAAUUUUUUCAUUUCUUUUUCAGCUUUCCCUUGCGGUACUUUUUCUGUUGCUCCUUUUUCUGUUUCUAUCGCCUAUACUAAAGGGGAAAAAUGUUUUGGGUUCUUGGGGAACUAUAUUUAGGGGUAUUGAUAGGGGUAUUUUGGUUUUAAUUGGUGGGCUAGCUGUUGGGCU
rnacentral:rRNA from 1 species